rfam:Picea glauca, whole genome shotgun sequence.
ACCUUGUCAAAAAAAGUACAGACAAGGGGAAUCCGACUACUUAAUUAAAACAAAGCGUUGUGAUUGUCCCUGUAGAUGCUAACACAAUGUAAUUUAUGCCUAGUGCUCUACAUGUCAAAGUGAAUAAAUUCAACCGAGCGCGGGUAAACAAUGUGAGUAACUAUGACUCUCUUAAGGUAGUCAGAUGCCUCGUCAUCUAAUUUGUGGCGUGCAUGAAUGGAUUAACAAGAUUCCCACUCUCCCAAGCUACUAUCUAGAGAAACCACAACCAAGGGAACGAGCUUGGAAAAAUUAGCGGGGAAAGAAGACCUUGUUGAGCUUGACUCUUGUCCAACUUUGUGAAAUGACUUGAGAGGUGUAGAAUAAGUGAGAGUUGUUUUCAGCGCAAGUGAAAUACCACUACUUUUAAUGUUAUUUUACUUAUUUCAUGGGGAAAAGAUGGGGCAUUGCACAUAUGUUAAAAUAUAACGUGCAUUUCCUCAAAGUGUUGUCAUUGAUGGCAAUGGUCAAGAGCUCAUUCUUCAUGCACUUGAUGGCAAUGAGUUUAGGAAACAAGCACAAAUUGAAAAACUUUCAAUGUUGGAAAAUGGUAUAUGGUUGAUAUGCAUGAUUUAUUCCCCCCACUUGACCAUAGAAAGU